GUUUGCGGGCGGGCUCUCUGGUCCGUGGACCAGAACGUCGGCAUUUCAACUGAGCCACGGAUCAGAUAAGGCGUUCAUUCUGGAAACCCUCGCCGCCCCUCUCUUCCUCCCCAAACAUCACUAUCCCCUUCAUCUAGUGGCGCUCGUUCUGCACCGGCGGCAACGGGAAAAAUGGAUCAUGCUGUUUGAGUUCCUGCUCGAUGCAAUCGACAGGUUCCCACUGCGUGAGGAGUUCACCGGCAGUUUUGAGCACUCAGAUCCAGUACCUCUAGUCUUGUUGCGGAACAGCGAAGCCGACCAUGCCGUUCCUGCGGACUCCAAUCCUGGGUCUGGUUGCGGUCAACAGUCGGCGGCGACGGCCAGAUGAGAUGGUUUUCGCCGGCAUCCGGAUGCAUCUCCGACUAGGUCGGCGCAAUCGACUGCCAGAGUCAACCGAGAAGCCCCUGGUUGGACAAAAAGCGCUUGGACUUUGGAUGGAACUGAUUGACCUUUUAGACGGGUCAUAUGGCGUAGAGUCUUGUAUGAGCUUCAGAGUUCGUAAUAUUUUGUCCAUUGCGUAUUUAAGGAGAAACUGAUGCAGUAAGACGUCUUGUCAGUUUAAUGGCCAGUGUUUAUGAUACCCUUUGCCGGAGUCCUUGUGUGAUCUAGUGGGUUUGGCUUCGGACUUGCCAUGGCAAGGGAAUGUCGAAACUGUUUGGUUUGAUUCAUAAUCAUGAAGCAUUUCUGGUGUCC